rnacentral:ncRNA from 1 species
UUAAUAUUGGGGCAAACUGUGCGAAAGUGCAGGACGCAAAGCCACGGGUCUAAGCAUAGUAUGAUAGCCGGGUUACCUAG